UCUGGGUUUGGAAUCUCCUGAGGCUUCCAUAUACCCUUAUAAGCUGGGUUAUCAAUGAAGGGGGCACUCCAUUUUCCCUUAUAAGCUGGGUUCCUCUUCGUUGGCCUCUUCCACUCACCACAACCAGGGGCUGUUUCACACUUUGGGUUUUCAAUUUUGGGAGCUUCCCAUUCACCAUCCUCCUCAUCAUCCCAAUCUUCAGGUUUUGUUGCCUCCGGGUCAUCUAUUUCCUCUGGCUCGUCGUCCAGCCAUCCUUCAGGUUUCUCAGCUUCUUCAUCGAUAAUUUCCAUGGGUGCAUCCUCAUCCCAGUCCUCUGGCUUUACAGCUUCUGGGUCAGGAAUCUUGGCUCUCUCGUCCCAGUCUUCGGGUUUGUUAUCAUCAG
rnacentral:lncRNA from 1 species